rnacentral:lncRNA from 1 species
UGUAGAUUGGUUACAUCGAUUAAUAGCCUCAUAUUAGAUUGAUUAACUCAAAGAUCUGAUUUGGCUUAGUAGCUCGAGCCUGAGUUACACAAGCUAACCUAUUCAAAAUUGAUUGAUCUAUUGGUGUCUAAGAAAAAUAGUUUGGUUUGACCUAAAGAGAGGUGGUUAUUUAAUUAAUUUUGUUCACUGACCUAAUCAAUUUAUUGGUAUCUAACGAAAGCAAC